rnacentral:misc_RNA from 1 species
GAUGAAGAACGCAGCGAAAUGCGAUACUUGGUGUGAAUUGCAGAAUCCCGUGAACCAUCGAGUCUUUGAACGCAAGUUGCGCCCGAAGCCAUCAGGUUGAGGGCACGUCUGCCUGGGCGUCACAUAUCGUUGCCCAAUGCCUAUUGCAGUGCAAUAGGAAUUUCUAGGGCGAAUGAUGGCUUCCCGUGAGCGUUGUUGCCUCGCGGUUGGUUGAAAAUCGAGUCCUUGGUAGGGUGUGCCAUGGUAGAUGGUGGUUGAGUUAGAACGAUACCGAUCAUGUGCAUGCUCCCCAAAAUAUGGCCUCUAUGACCCACACGCGUCUUUUGACGCUCAUGACGAGACCUCAGGUCAGGCGGGGCUACCCGCUGAAUUUAAGCAUAUCAAUAAGCGGAGGA